AGACGUCUACAUUAGAUACCCGUGUAGUCCCAGCCCUAAACGAUGCGCGUUAGGUGUAUCGGUGACCACGAGUCACCGAGGUGCCGAAGGGAAACCGUGAAACGUGCCGCCUGGGAAGUACGGUCGCAAGGUUGAAACUUAAAGGAAUUGGCGGGGGAGCACCACAACGGGUGGAGCCUGCGGUUUAAUUGGACUCAACGCCGGGAAGCUCACCGGAUAAGACAGCGGAAUGAUUGCCGGGCUGAAGACCCUGCAUGACCAGCUG
rnacentral:rRNA from 1 species